GAAAUGCCUUCAUGAGAUCCAGCUGUAAGGUAUUCUGUCAAUUAGUGCUCAAUGGGGAAGAGACCAACUCAUUGUGGGUGGUGCUAUCUCUGGACUGGUGGUCCUG
rnacentral:miRNA from 1 species